GAGUGUGAGCGGCGGCGGAGACGGCUGGGCGGCCGGGAGAGGAGCGGCCGGAGCCGGCGGCUGCGCCCGCAGAUGGGGUUCCCCGCCAGCCCCAGCGGCCUCCUGAGUUAUUUCCUGACUCUGCACGUGCUCCGCCUGGGAUCAGCUGAGUUCAGAGUGGUGGGACCAGACCAACCUCUCCUUGCCACCGUGGGGCAGGACGUCGUGCUGCCGUGUCACUUGUCCCCACGCGCGGACGCUCGGAGCUUGGAGAUCAGGUGGAUCCGGUACCGGUUCUCGGAAACGGUGCAUCUCUACCGAAAUGGAGAGGACCUGUAUGGGGCACAGAUGGAGGAAUACAUUGGAAGGACAGAGUUGGUCAGAGAUGGUCUCUCCAAUGGGACCCUGGACUUGCGACUCACUGGGGUGAGACCCUCUGAUGAUGGCCAGUACGUCUGCACUGUGAGAGAUGCUGCCUCUUAUGGAGAAGCUACAGUGGACCUGGAGGUGGCAGCCAUGGGCUCCGUCCCUCUCCUCUCUCUGGAGGCUCACCAGGACGGAGGCAUCCGGGUGGUGUGUGGAUCGGCCGGCUGGUACCCGCAACCGCAGGUGCUGUGGAAGGCUGCCAACGGGCAGCGUCUGCCCUCGGUCUCCCAGAGACGUUCCUCUGACGAGAGGGGCCUGUUUGAGAUCCAAGAUGUCGUCGUGGUGAGCGGGAAGGGCGAUGGGAACUUGUCGUGCGUGGUGAGGAACAGCCGCCUGGAGCAGGAGCAGGCGUCGUCCCUGCACAUCUCAGCUCCCUUUUUCCACAAUGCCCUUCACUGGAUGGCAGCUCUGGGUAGUGUUCUCCUACUUUUAGUGGCAUUAUUUGGCGUCAUCGCUUAUCUCUGGCGAAGGAAAGUGGGGCUGUCCAGAACGCUGGAGGAACAAGCUGCAGCACUGGAGGAACAAGCUGCACUGUUGGGGAAACAAAACGCAGCACUGGAGGAAAAAACUGCACGGCUGGAGGAACAAGCUGCACGGCUGGAGGAAGAAGCUGCACGGUUGGGGAAACGAGACGUGGCACUGGGGAAACGAGACACAGCACUGGAGAAACGAGACGCAGCACUGGGGAAACGAGACGCGGCACUGGGAAAACGAGAAGCAGCACUGGAGGAGCAACUUGCACGUCUGAAGGAACAAGCUGCACGGUUGGAGGAACGAGACGCAGCACUGGAGGAACAAGCUGCACGGCUGGGGAAACGAGACACAGCACUGGAGGAACAACUUGGACGUCUGAAGGAACGAGCUGCACGGCUGGAGGAACAAGCUGCACGGCUGGAGAAACAAGCUGCGCUGUUGGAAUGGAGAAAGUUUUCUGCUUCCUGAAAAUCAAGACGUGGUGACCCUGGACCCAAACACGGCUCAUUCCCAACUUCACCUGUCAGAGGAUUUGAGAACCGUGAAUCGGGAUAUUAAAGAAGACGACCUGCCCGACACCCCGGAGAGAUUUAGUGAUCGUCCCCGCUCCCCAGCAGGAUCUGGGUCUGUCUGGACUGCGCCCGGGGGCUGGUGACUUUCCUCCAUGCCGACACCGGGGUCGAGAUCUUCACGUUCCCACCAGCCUCGUUCAAAGGGGAGACCCUGCGCCCCUGGUUUU